rnacentral:rRNA from 1 species
AAAACGACUCUCGGCAACGGAUAUCUCGGCUCACGCAUCGAUGAAGAACGUAGCAAAAUGCGAUACUUGGUGUGAAUUGCAGAAUCCCGUGAACCAUCGAGUUUUUGAACGCAAGUUGCGCCCGAUGCCAUCUGGUUGAGGGCACGUCUGCCUGGGCGUCACGCAUCAC